ACUACUAUAUUAAAGGGUAACAAACUUCUUUUUUCUCAGAAUUUUGAGAUUCGUCCUGUUAUUUUCUUGUGUGCACUUGAGUCAUCCUCUUGCAUUUUUUCUUUUACUGUCCUUUGUUCUGUGCUAGGCUUUAUUUUGUUAUGGGUGGAUGUAGCAUUUUUACUGAACCCCUUUGAUUCUGGAGAGGUCCUCUGGCUGUACCGUCCCUCAAUUCCUCCCCACGCUCUCUCUCUUCUUUUCUCCUCCACCGCCCCAUCGUCUCCAGCCCAGGCCUGGUGCCCUCCGCCUUGUCCACUUCUUCCUCCUCCGGCGUUCUACACGGCGGCUCUCCGGCGAGGCACGUCCCCACCUCCUUCUUCCCUGGUGGGCUGCCUCCCGGCUUGCUCUGCUUGGUGGGGAGGAUGCAGACGAGGUGGCCGUGUUUCCGAGCGGCUCAGCGGAGCUCGGGAAAGCCGGCAGCCACGACGAUUUGCGAAUGGAGGAGGCCAGCAGCCGGUCGAGGAUUCGAUGCACGGAGCAUGGUUGGGCGAGUUGGGCCAAGCUCAUAGACUCCGUCUAUGGGAGGACCUUUUAUUCGGCGGCUUUGGGCAAGCGGCCGUCAUGGCGGCCGAGGAGGUGUGGUGAGGAGCACGGCGACCCCAUCGAGCUUUGGAUUUGACGGCUGCCGUAAGACGAGAAGGUGCCUCGCGCCCACAGAGGCAACAUUCAACACGUGGAGGUAGUUCAUGUUCUCUUCUAUGAGUUUUCCCGGUCGAGACAUCCAGUUGAGAUCCAUCGGUGCCUGCUUGGAUUGGCCUUCAUGUUGGAGUAUUCUCUAAUGGAAGUUGACACAGCUGGAUCUCCCUGUCCUGAUUAAUUUAUCUG